rnacentral:rRNA from 1 species
CCUACGGGAGGCAGCAGUGAGGAAUAUUGGUCAAUGGGCGCUAGCCUGAACCAGCCAAGCAGCGUGAAGGAUGACUGCCUUAUGGGUUGUAACUUUCUUUUUUAUGGGCAUAAAGUGCAGUAUGUAUACUGCUUUGCAUGUACCUUAUGAAUCAGGAUCGGCGAACUCCGUGCCAGCAGCCGCGGUAAGACGGAGGAUCCGAGCUUUAGACGGAUGUAUUGGGUUUAAAGGGAGCGUAGGUGGGUUGUUAAGUCAGUUGUGAAAGUUUGCGGCUCAACCGUAAAAGUGCAUUUGAUACUGGCAUCCGUGAGUACAGUAGAGGUAGGCGGAAUGCGUGGUGUAGCGGUGAAAUGCUUAGAUAUCACGAAGAACACCGAUUGCGAAGGCAGCCUGCUGGACUGUAACUGACGCUGAUGCGCGAAAGUGUGGGUAUCAAACAGGAUUAGAUACCCCUGUAGUC